rnacentral:rRNA from 1 species
GUCAGCUCGUGUCGUGAGAUGUUGGGUUAAGUCCCGCAACGAGCGCAACCCUUUUCCUUAUUUGCCAGCACUUUUAGGUGGGAACUCUAAGGAUACUGCCAGUGACAAACUGGAGGAAGGCGGGGACGACGUCAAGUCAUCAUGGCCCUUACGACCAGGGCUACACACGUGCUACAAUGGUCGGUACAAAGGGUUGCUAGUCCGCGAGGACAUGCUAAUCUCAAAAAGCCGAUCGUAGUCCGGAUUGGAGUCUGCAACUCGACUCCAUGAAGUCGGAAUCGCUAGUAAUCGCGGAUCAGAAUGCCGCGGUGAAUACGUUCCCGGGCCUUGUACACACCGCCCGUCACACCAUGGGAGUUUGUUGCACCAGAAGUAGGUAGUCUAACCUUAGGGGGGACGCUUACCACGGUGUGGCCGAUGACUGGGGUGAAGUCGUAACAAGGUAGCCGUAGGGGAACCUGCGGCUGGAUCACCUCCUUA